AUUGAACGCUGGCGGCAGGCCUAACACAUGCAAGUCGGACGGUAGCACAGAGAGCUUGCUCUCGGGUGACGAGUGGCGGACGGGUGAGUAAUGUCUGGGAAACUGCCCGAUGGAGGGGGAUAACUACUGGAAACGGUAGCUAAUACCGCAUAACGUCGCAAGACCAAAGUGGGGGACCUUCGGGCCUCACACCAUCGGAUGUGCCCAGAUGGGAUUAGCUAGUAGGUGGGGUAAUGGCUCACCUAGGCGACGCUCCCUAGCUGGUCUGAGAGGAUGACCAGCCACACUGGAACUGAGACACGGUCCAGACUCCUACGGGAGGCAGCAGUGGGGAAUAUUGCACAAUGGGCGCAGGCCUGAUGCAGCCAUGCCGCGUGUAUGAAGAAGGCCUUCGGGUUGUAAAGUACUUUCAGCGGGGAGGAAGGCGGUGAAGUUAAUAGCUUCACCGAUUGACGUUACCCGCAGAAGAAGCACCGGCUAACUCCGUGCCAGCCGCCGCGGUAA
rnacentral:rRNA from 1 species